GACGAACGCUGGCGGCGUGCUUAACACAUGCAAGUCGAACGGAAAGGCCCUGCUUGCAGGGUACUCGAGUGGCGAACGGGUAAGUAACACGUGGGUGAUCUGCCCUGCACUUCGGGAUAAGCUUGGGAAACUGGGUCUAAUACCGGAUAGGAACCAUCUUUAGUGUGGUGGUUGGAAAGUUUUUUCGGUGUAGGAUGAGCUCGCGGCCUAUCAGCUUGUUGGUGGGGUAAUGGCCUACCAAGGCGGCGACGGGUAGCCGGCCUGAGAGGGUGUACGGCCACAUUGGGACUGAGAUACGGCCCAGACUCCUACGGGAGGCAGCAGUGGGGAAUAUUGCACAAUGGGCGCAAGCCUGAUGCAGCGACGCCGCGUGGGGGAUGAAGGCCUUCGGGUUGUAAACUCCUUUCGCUAGGGACGAAGCUUUUUGUGACGGUACCUAGAUAAGAAGCACCGGCUAACUACGUG
rnacentral:rRNA from 1 species